UAAAAAUCCAGUGCCCAUCUCUCUGCUUCCCUCCCUUCCUCCCUCCCUCCCUCCUCACUACACCACCCCCAGCGAAAUCCUGGCACCCAGAGAGCACUCUUUUCAGCCAGAGCCCAGAACCAGCCGUUGUCCCCUGGCAAAAGAGGCCCAGUGCUGGGCCCUGGGCAAGUGUCUCCAGACAUCCCUACCUUUCUUUAUUAGUCUUCUUUCCCAACAGAAGCUAUUUCCUUUUGCCACUAAAACUACGUUGCAUCCAAAAGUUUCUCACAAGCUUAGAAAAGAAAAAUGAAAAACUGACACCAUUAUACAGAAGAAUUCACAAAAGCUGCAGAACACCAGGGCAGAGAAGCAGCAGCGUCAGACACAGGCCCACAGGACACACAGGAUGAUGCCUCCACAUCACGCCCAGGGACAGAGUGAAGCUCUCACUGGCCUGUGUCAGAGAAGCUGCUUCUCAGCUUUCCCCCAGACCCUCCUCCCCCCCACCUGCCUCUUCCCUGUAAAUUUCCCUAAGUCUCUA
rnacentral:lncRNA from 1 species